AGCUCCAAUAGCGUAUAUUAAAGUUGUUGCAGUUAAAAAGCUCGUAGUUGGACCUUGGACCUGGACAGGCGGUCCGCCUCACGGCGAGUACUGUCUUGCUGGGUCUUUCCUCUUGGUGAUCUGUUGUGCUCUUCACUGGGUGCAGCAGGGAACCAGGACUUUUACUUUGAAAAAAUUAGAGUGUUCAAAGCAGGCUCGACGCCGGAAUACAUUAGCAUGGAAUAAUAAAAUAGGACGUGCGGUUCUAUUU
rnacentral:rRNA from 1 species